rnacentral:RNase_P_RNA from 1 species
AGUUCAAACCGGGCAAUUGCUUCACAAUCUUUUGGGAAGAGGAAAGUCCGAACUUCAUAGAACGGAGCGCCGGGUAACACCCGGGAUUCUGAUUAAUAUCGGAAUACGGAUAGUGCCACAGAAAAUAUACCGUCCUGAUUAUAAGUCAGGAUAAGGGUGAAAUGGCAGGGUAAGAGCCUACCGCGGUAGUGGUAACACUGCCGGUCCGAAAGGAUCCCGCUUUGCGGGACAUGGUAAACCCCGCUCGAAGCAAGGUCAAGUAGGAAAAUCUUUCCCGACUUGUAUCGGGAUCAAAGUUGUUCGCUUUGAAUGAUUUUCGGGUAGACCGCUGGAUUUCCGAAGUAAUUCGGAAACAAGACAAAUAAUUGCCGCCCCGAUUUUUUCGGGGAACAGAAUUCGGCUUAUAGGUCUGAACUUACU